UACGUAGGGCGCAAGCGUUGUCCGGAAUUAUUGGGCGUAAAGAGCUCGUAGGUGGCUUGUCACGUCGGGUGUGAAAGCUUGGGGCUUAACUCCAGGUCUGCAUUCGAUACGGGCUGGCUAGAGGUAGGUAGGGGAGAACGGAAUUCCUGGUGUAGCGGUGAAAUGCGCAGAUAUCAGGAGGAACACCGGUGGCGAAGGCGGUUCUCUGGGCCUUACCUGACGCUGAGGAGCGAAAGCUAGGGGAGCAAACAGG
rnacentral:rRNA from 1 species